GAUGAACGCUGGCGGCGUGCCUAAUACAUGCAAGUCGAGCGAACAGACGAGGAGCUUGCUCCUUUGACGUUAGCGGCGGACGGGUGAGUAACACGUAGGUAACCUACCUAUAAGACUGGGAUAACUUCGGGAAACCGGAGCUAAUACCGGAUAAUAUUUCGAACCGCAUGGUUCAAUAGUGAAAGAUGGCUUUGCUAUCACUUAUAGAUGGACCCGCGCCGUAUUAGCUAGUUGGUAAGGUAACGGCUUACCAAGGCAACGAUACGUAGCCGACCUGAGAGGGUGAUCGGCCACACUGGACCUGAAAAACGGUCCGAACUCCUACGGGAGGCAGCGGUAGGGAAUCUUCCGAAAUGGGGGAAAGCUUGACGGAGCAACGCGGCGUGGGUAAUGAAGGUCUUCGGAUCGUAAAACUCUGUUAUUAGGGAAGAACAAAGGUGUAGGUAACUGUGCACGUCUUGACGGUACCUAAUAAGAAGGCCACGGCUAACUACGU
rnacentral:rRNA from 1 species